GCCAGCGGAGGCCGGCCGAGGGACGCGUCCCCGCCACGUCUCUCCGGGCACCUGUGGGGCGAGACCCCGCGCCACCUGUGCACACACCCGCUUCCCCGUGCCCUGCGUGGUGUCCAGCGGUCCCGGACCUGGGCCUUGAACAGCCUCUGGCGGUUAGAGUUUAUUUUGGAAACGUUCGAUUUUUUCUUUCUUUCUGUGUGUUAAUAAUCGUUUUACUACGGCCGUGCAACAGUUGUGUAAAUCUGGUCGAAUUACGCCAUCGUCAUUACUGGCUCCUGAGAAGGCCCUUUCCAGCUCCUUCGGUUUUCUGACGCGAUGAUUGUUGGUAGCGCAUGGGAGAAAUGCAUUAGGCGAUAUUGGUUCUCAAGGCGCUGAAAUGUUUUGCGCCCCAAAAUGGAAGCAUCCGUUCCACUUAUUUAUUUAUUUAUUUAGUUUACUGCAGCAGUAUACUACGGGGGAGGGGAAACGGGGUAUGAAGAAAGCCCGUAGCAAACUCCUCCUCAGUAGAGAAUUUUACAAUUUCGAGUGUUUCUGUCCAUUCUUUUUAGAAAAUGCAUGAAUUUAUAUUUGCGUUACAUCGUGGGGUAUUUACUUUCUGAUUUUUUUUCACUUAAUACAUAGAGGACUUUUCUCUGUAUAAUUGUAACUAUAGCAUCGAUGGCUAGAAAGAAACUCGCUAAAGAUUUGAUGACGUAUCACUGCAGUGGCCAGUUUAUUGGCUAGAAAUAAGCAGAAUUCAGGGUAGCAACCGGUAUCCAAAAGAUAUUAUUUAUUCCUGUUAAUAACUUGAGGCAGUGUUUUUCAGACUGCAGUUUUCAACCCAUUGGCGAAUUGUAAAAUUAAUUUAGUGGUUCGUGAGUAGGAUUUUAAAAAUUCAUUUAAAAGAUGAAAUAAAAUGGCAUAGAAAAUACCAGACUACAUUACUUGUUCUGAAGGGUAUUGUUUUGUGAAACCUUGUUUUAACUGCGCAUGUGUGCCUGUGAGUGUGUGCUGGGUUGUAAUAUAAAAUGUAUUGCUUUCUAUGGUGUCAUGAUAAAUAAAUUUAAAGUCACUGAUCCAAAGUACUGUCAGCAUCCAAACUGGGUGCAAUGAUGCAGUUAAACUAAAAGUUAAUUUUAUUCAUCUUCACUCUCUCUUGGGGAGGCAGGGAAUACUUACAUUGUUUAUUGCAGUAUAUUAGGUUCUUUUCCCCUAAUAUUACAAUAAUUAGCAUUUCCAAAAAUACAGAAAGGUUUUUAUAGAAGUUAAAAGAUCAAAACAUUAACUGAACAUAUUCCCUAGUUAUUGGUGUGAGACUUGGAAAAAGAUCGCUUCUUUCUAAACUUAAGUUCCCUAAUUUGUUGAAUGGGAGUGACUUGAUUCCUACCUUUUAAAGCUGUUUGUUAUUUAGAUGAAACAAUGCAUAUAAAGCUAUUGACGGGGUGGCCUGGCUCAGAUUAAGUAUUCACUACGUGUUAUUAUUUUAUUAAGAUCCAGUGGUAGUGUCUAGAAUAAUUCUUGUUGUCAGAGAAAAGGCGGCAUAGUGUGGAUAAUCAAAAAAAAAAAAAGUUGAAAAUUAGUUAUUUGUGUUGUGUGACUGGGAAUUAAGAUGAUCUUUUUAUAUAUUAUUUGGACACUAUUUGGUGAUUGCUUACUAAUUGUUAUCCCAUUGAUAGAUAAUUUAGAUUGUCUUAUUUUAAAAAAAAAGAUUUCCUUCUAUUGUCUUUUCUUACUUUCUGUUAAGUUGUUGUCUCUUUUGUCAGGCAGUUGAAAAAAUUUCCUCUGAGGAUUUUGGAUUUUGUUAGCUCUUAUACAAAGCUGCAGUCAGUUUGGAAACCCACACAACUACAAAAUCAUUUCAACAAUAUUUUUAUUGAUAUUUAUCUCUGCACCCGGUGUAGAUUUCAUAUAUACAAGAAAUGUUUCUUAAAAACAAAGAAACAAACAGCUCACACCGUUCAGAUAUUUGUUGUUGACUGCUCCAGGUGGGUUUAUUCAGUUUUAAAUGUUGCAAAAACCAAUGAAAUAAGAUGAUUGUUGUCACUUUAAAAAUAUCAUUAAAAUUAUUAAAAAUAAAUAGAAUGCUUUGGAAUCGGAAAAAAAGAUUUUGUUACUAGGUGGAAUGAUUGUAAAAGGUGGUGAAAAAAUCCUAAACAUUAAUCGUAAUUCUCUUGGAUUGGAAAUGUCUUUAGAUUGUAAGCACAUGAUUUGGAACUAAUUAAUUUGUCCCAGAAAAACAAAAAUGAAAACCCCAAACAACAAUGAAGCAAAAAAGCCCAACUAACUGAAACUUACAUGCGUUAAUGUAAGUUAAAAUAUUAAGGUUAUGUGGGGAUAUAUUUUUAAAAUUAUUGACUCACCAACUGCUGUUUUUUUUUUUUUUGUCAGAUAAGACGGGUUUUUAUCUUACACUUAUAAAUGAAAUACUAUGUAAUCAUUAAACAUUCUGUUUGGAAAUAUAUAUAUAUAUAUUAUAUAAAUAUAUAUAUAUAUAUAUAUAUAUAUAUAUUUAAUGGCAUGUAAAGUUCUCAUGAUUAAUUGAAGGGGUAGUAAUAGGAUGGAAUGUUCAAUAUAUUCCAUUUUUGUAAAAAUAUG
rnacentral:lncRNA from 1 species